rnacentral:rRNA from 1 species
UCAGGAAUAUUGCGCAAUGGAGGAAACUCUGACGCAGCGACGCCGCGUGGGUGAUGAAGGCCUUCGGGUCGUAAAGCCCUGUCGGAGGGGAAGAAAAGUUCGCUGGCUAAUAUCCAGCGGACCUUUGACGGUACCCUCAAAGGAAGCACCGGCUAACUCCGUGCCAGCAGCCGCGGUAAGACGGAGGGUGCAAGCGUUGUUCGGAUUGACUGGGCGUAAAGGGCGUGUAGGCGGUUGGUCAAGUCUGGUGUGAAAGCCCGGGGCUUAACCCCGGAAGUGCAUUGGAAACUAGCCAGCUAGAGCGCGAGAGAGGAGGGUGGAAUUCCUGGUGUAGCGGUGAAAUGCGUAGAUAUCAGGAGGAACACCGGCGGCGAAGGCGGCCCUCUGGCUCGUUGCUGACGCUGAAACGCGAAAGCGUGGGGAGCAAACAGG